UUGAAUGAAAAGUGCACCAGUAAGUGCAGGCGUGUAGAAAAGCAUAAUCUGCAUCCGGUGAAUAUGUGAAGUGCGUUUUUAGCUUUUUCACUAGCGGAGGUCCAUCCAUUCUUUUGGGCUUCUUUGUUUAGUGUGUGCAGAGGUGUGAGAGCGAGCGAAAAGCUGUACAAAGAUACAGAGAAAGAGAGAGAAAGCUAGAGCGAGCGAGCAGUGCACAAAUACACCGCAAGAGAGCAGCGGAGUGCGUGAGAGCGAAAGAGCGAGAGAGGCGCUAGAUGUCUACGAAACAGAAGAUACACUAGCAGAAGGGAAAACAGCGAACAGCAGCCAACGACCGCGUGUUGCACUUAUUCCAAGGUUCGUCACUGCUGAGGAGAAUCAUCGCGAGUGUGAAGAACAUUCAUCUGCUUCAACGUUCCCACCGACAGCCGGAAGUUGCUACCUUCGCACGGUGAACCUUUUGCCGGGCUCGCCGUAUCCUUCCAUCCACUGCCUCGUAACGUAACCAAAGUGGCCAAAGUAAGAGUCUGCCAUCGAACCGAUACCUAAACCGUGAACACACUCUGCCAAUCCACCGCGGAAGCUGGACAACCACAGACGUGUUGUGAGGGGUCGGUGUAUUGCACAACCGGCGUGUAGUGGUAUCCAUCCAGCAGCCAUCAUUUAAUGCCAACAUCCCGAACUCCAACCAUGGCGCCGGUGGCCAUGGCCUCUUCCACGGGCCUUUCCCGACGACAGAUGCUUGGUGUCAUCCUAUUGCUCAUCCUGCCUAGUGCUUUGGUAGUGGUAGUGCAUGCGGAACCGAUCCUGAAGAUCCGCACGACUGAGUUUACCCGUUACAAUGAAGUGAUUGAAUAUCAAAGCUCAAAGUCGUACAAUCCGCGCGGUAUGGCACCGCUGUACGAAAUCACUAAUCACAUCAUCGAUCUGUUCGUCGAUGAAUAUCCCAUUCCGGAUGGUUACAUCACCGUACAGGAAGGCAACAUUGCUGCAGGACCAAACGUUGCGGACAAUAACUGGGGUCCGUUGCUGAAACAAUACUGGGCGAUCUUGCUUGUGGCGGCACUAUGCAUCAUAAUGAUUGCGAUCAUGCCUAUCAUGGGUCUGUGUCUGUGUUGCUGCCGGUGCUUCGGCGGAUGUGGUGGACGAUCCCAGCCGUUCGACAAGAAACACGAUACUUGCCGUCGGGCAAUUUUGGGCUUCCUGUUGAUUUGUUCAACCUCAGCAUUGGUCUUUGGAGUGGUGGUUGCGUUUGUCACCAACAGUUAUAUGCAACAUGGGGUGGAAAACAUUACUACUUCCGCUCGGCAUGGUGUGCACGAUACUCGGCUGUACUUGAGAAGUACCUCGUCUCAUAUCGAUCAUGUGCUGAACAAGAACUACCAAGAACUGAACAACGAUCUCAAACAGAUGCUGAACGAUGCUUCCGGCACCAUAAUCAAACGGCUGGAGGAGCAAUCUAAGGCUGAGAAGUUAACGACGCUGUACCAAUUUGUCGAAGAUUUGCCAGGAAUUAGCAAAAAUUUGGAAAAGAUGAAACAGCUCACUAGCGAGUUACGGAUCACAGCAUCUCAGUUGAACGAUGGGCUUCGUGGUGUGAAGAGAGAACUGCUUACUUCGCUUAAUAAGUGCGGCACUCAGGAUUGUAUUAAAGUGAUGGAGGACUACAAGAUUGGACGCUUAAAUGUGAAUGGCAUCGACUACAACUCGAUACAAGACAGAUACUUCCCGAGGCUGCCGGAUUUAUCGGAAAUCAUCGAGAGCGUUAAGGAGCUGAUGGAUAGCAGCCUUGGAAGUGCCAUACGUAAAGGCGUCAAGCAGAUGGAACAGCUCAAGAGUACGCUCAACCAGACGGUUCUGGAAAAUAUUCCGAAAGUGCAGGCCGCUUCGGAUUCAACGGGAAAUGCAAUAAAAGACGUGUCGAACAUGCUCACUUCGCGACUAAACAAUGUUGGCGAUACCCUGGAUAACAAUUCAUACAAACAUCUGGACACGGCAGAUGAGUACAUACAGCAGUAUAGCAUCUACAGAUAUUAUGCCGGGCUGGGAAUCAGCUCGGUGCUAUUGCUGAUUUUGAUCUGCCUAGUGUUUGGGUUGUUGUGUGGAAUUUGUGGCAAACGUCCGGACGGUUAUGGAGAUGAUUGCUGCAAUAAGGGUGCUGGUGGAAGAUUCUUAAUUUUUGCCGUUGCCAUUAUCUUCCUUACCUUUUCUGUGAUCCUGGCGGUUGCUUUGGCUUCAUUCCUGGCAGGCACACUCGCGCGUCGUGCUGCCUGUGACUCGCUCCGUGAUCCGGCCAAUGAUCAGAUUGUCAGCUAUAUCGAUCAGUUUGUUGAUUUAAACCGCCUGUACUCAGAUUUGCGAGCACAGGCCGAACGCUCAAAACCCAAGCUGCCGGUCAGCGAUAAUAUGGAACAGAUAAGCAUCGGCCAGGUGAUUGUGGCCUGUCAACAAAAUGAAUCGAUCUACAAGGUACUGAAGUUGAACAACUUCGUCGACAUUGACACGAUUCGUGAUUUCCCGGAGCAGUACGGCAUUACACGCGAAUUGAAUGCGCUUACGCUGAAGAUUAAAAUAAAUCCGGUACAAAUUCUUACGCCCGAGGCAACCGAAGACAUUAAAGCAUUACAAGCGUCGAAGCUAAACGACUUCGAUGUGGAUAAAUUCACGGAUAAUCUAACAUACAACAUCACCGAGUACAAUCUGAAUGAGAUAGCCCAAAAGUUACGAGAUGUAGCAGACCGCGUUCCGCCCGGCAAAGAUAUGAACGACAUCAAAGUGAACCUAAAAAAUCAAGCUUUGCAUCUGUCUUCCUAUCAGACCAAUCUUGUUGAUCCGAUGAUUGUUUCUACAAAUGAGCUUAUUAAGCUCUCGACUACGUUGGACAGCAGCUUGAAGUUUGGGGAAAAAUCUUUCUCGGAUGCCAUCGACAAAUUCUUGACGCAGAUCAAAGAGGCUGAAAAUUACAUCAACAAACACGGCAUGACUUUCGUGCAGAAUAUCACCGAGGAGCUGGUGACUGGUUUUACCAACCAAAUUUAUGCGUACAUCAAGUUCGUGAUCGAUUCCACAGAGAACGAUAUUGGACUUUGUGGACCGAUGUACAACGUUUACGAAUCGGUGAUUGUUGCAUCGUGUGAUAGGAUCGUAGAUCCAUUUAACGGAUUCUGGGCUGGUGUAGUGUGGUGUUUGCUACUGUUCCUACCGUCAAUUAUUUUUGGCGUGAAGUUGUCGACAUUAUAUCAAAAAUCGGAUCCUUACCCUGGCCCGAUGGUGGAAUCUGAGUAUCUGUAUGAUGCCUACACCGAGCGUGAUAACAUUCCUCUUGCGAGUGGUCCAAAAAAUAAACGCCGCAAGAAGCAGGAUCGCCGCCGUGAAUCUCGUGAUCGUCGGGAAAUCUAUUACGAAGAGGGCAGCCCAUCGCACAGUCGUGACCCAAGGUACAACGAUAUGGCUCCGAAAUGCCACUAUAUGACCUGUGAUGGUCGGCCACGACCCGGGUUCGGUUUGCAGCAACAGCAACAAUACUAUCGUCCUAUUUCGUAAAGACUCUCUUGCGCUGUUACUAGCAAAAAACACUCGCAAUAAUAUAUUCCAAGACAGUCGACAUACACAGCAUAUAGCCUCUACAGUAAUCUAAAUUGGGAUGGCGCUCCGCCACGGUACCAGAAUCCUCCGAUGGCCCCACCAGCAGCAGAGUAUGAACGCCCACCGCCGUACUACUAUCCGGGCGCACCGAGUGAACAUGAGUAAAUGGGACAGUAGUGUGUGUGGUCAUCACUUUUGGGAGGAAGCAUCGGAACUGCUCUAAACACGACGUAAAAUAUACUCCGUGAAACAAGAAUUUGAUAUCGCUUCUUCUACAAAACACCCCGUGCCAACGCUCAGCUCAGACAGUUUGCGUGUCUGAACAUACGUUCGGAAAAUAUUCGUUGCAGCACUCGGUUGAAGGCGAGCUGAAUUGGACCACAUUGCGUUUUCUUUUUUACUAUGAUAAAUAAGUUCGCCAUCGACGAUAUGAAAGGAAUAGUUUUUCAUCGAUAAAACUAUAAUUGUUUGUAUUCUUAAACGAUGUACUGAACAUGUGUAGGACAUGCAGAGAGGCAUUAAACAAUAAGCAGCAAAAGUAUUGUUUAGAUCAGUGCGUCAACUUGAAUAGACAGAUUUUUGAUAUUCUUCUGUUGUGCUCCGCAUAGACAGUCAGCAAUGUAUUUCGUUUUUCCUUUGCAUUUCACCUCUACAAGCUGCAAACGAUUGGUAAAAGCAUUUAAAAGAUAGAAACAAUGUAUGCAUACAGUACAGUUGCCUAAAGCACCAGUUUCGAGUGCAGGAUCUGACGUGUGAGCAUCGGCAAGAUUAGAAAGCACCUAUCAUUACCUAUUGGCACAAUUUGAUACGUUUUUAACGGGCGUACAUGAACACACAGGAUUACCUUUGGUUACGUUCUGAGUGGGAACAUACCACAUUGCAGACAGUAGAUACAAUUCAUUCCAAAAAAAGACCAAGCGAUUCGAAUGAGAUCAAUCAAAACACAUAUGUCAUCCGCGAUAAGUACAAGCAUAUAUAUUUAAAUCGGUCAUCCUCUGCACACGGUCGUCUGUUUGCUCAACGAUGAUAAUUUUACAAAGGCAUAAUUGAACUAUUGAAAAUGUAAACUAGAUUAUGAUCGUGCGAUCAAUCAGUCUUUUGCCGGACAAGGAAAUCAUAUACUGCCCUUUACGAAAGAGAUUGAAUACUGAAUUCUUACAUUCUGUGCGUUUUUCUACACUAAUUGCGUUCAGUGGCGUUAACACAAACCACUCACUUUUCAAUGUAAUCGAUAGUGAAUUCCACCUCUAGAUCUCGUUUAGGAACGGUGGACAAUGCUCAGUUUAUAUCCGUAGGCAUAGCAUUAUCGGUAGCAAGGGGGAGCGUGUCUGAGUGGUGAGUGUGUGAGAAAAAUACGAAGAGGAGUGGAGGGGGCAGUACGGGUAAAGGAAGGGGGCCCAAAUGAAUUCAUCGAUUUUGUGGUUCCGAAUCGAUGGGAAUGCUGAGUUUAGGCUAUAGUGUUUCGCUUUGUACGAACAGGAACACGUUCCUUAGUUGCAUGCAAAUCGACCUGCCGGAUAAAAACAAAGCAAAGGGUCGAACAAUUGUGCUGGUAUAAUGCCCAAGGCUGAUUAGCUGUAUAUGUAAGUAAAAUUCCAAGCAUGGCGUUGAAAUUGCACAGAAAAGAACUGUUUGCAACGCAGCCCCAAAAAACAAGGCACUGAAAUUCAUUUCACAUCUUUGCCCUUUGGGAUGUUUAAUAUGUUGCUUUUUUAAUUUUUUCGUUCACUUCGUCCGGUGCUUAGAGCAGCGCUAAGCCAAAUGCACAGUUGAGUAGUUGAGUGGAUUGAAAAAGGAAGCCCAGAAUAUCCUUUAAAAGUAGCAGAAUCUCGCUUUUAGUUUGUAUGUUCGUGAUUUUAUACUGUUUUGCAUACAAAGCAUACACAUUUAAAUUUACUGCUGGAACCCUGAUUGCACCAGUGGAUUAAAUCUAUAGCUAUCGGUAUUGUCACCGAUGGCUUGUUGGUGUGUGGCUCCAAGGCUGAAUUUGCAAAUACGUGUGUGUGUUUUUUUUUUAAUAAUUCGAAUGCUCGUUUAGUUUAAUUUAGAAUAUUUAAAAAAAAAAAACGGAAACAGUGCAUUGUGAAUUCGUUAUUCUUUAGUAUAAUUUGUUGCACCUCAGUAGCUCUAUAUUGGUUUAUUAUUAGUUCGAGCAAUUUAGUUUUGUUUGGCAGCAAGUGAUGCGAUUGCUGCAGUGUUUGAACCAUAUUUAACGGUCGGGAGAAUUACGAUGGGCAAAUAGUGUGGAUCGUUUUACGCUAAAACAUACUGAAAGGAAGGGCAAAAAUAUCUACGAAAUUAUCGUGCUCAGCAAAUAGAAUUUUAUCACUGUGUUGAUUAAGUAAAUGAAAACAGCAAAUCUACAAUCUCACAUCCUCGUCCUUUUGAAUGCCAGUCGAAACCGUUUCGUUCGUUUCGCUUUCGUUGGCAGGAUUUUUGCCGGAGUGUGCGUGCGUGGAUAUUAUAAUGCGAAUGGGAUAAGACUUUCUUAACUUACUAUUUAGCAAACAAAAAAUCACAUAAACAACUUUCACAAACCUAUAGAUGUGACGUCUGCGCGUGCUUAUGGAGAAACGGAACAGUCAAACACGAUUCUAAAUGUACGAACAAUAGUACUAAAGCUAUUAAGAAAAAAGAAAACAAACAAACCCUUUUUAUCCUUCUAAAACAUCCCGUUUCAACCAACGGCAAAGUAAGUGCACCUCAGCACAUACAUAUACAUACAUAAAAACCAAGUGCAGGAACUUAAAGCGAUAGUGUAAAGGGAUGAGAACAUUUACAUAGAUGAUCCGCUCCGUGGUAGUAGCGUGGUAAGGUUAAACGAUGAUUUAAGAAGCGUUUCGAACGAGACUAAAAAAGCAAGAAGACGACAAAAUUAGAAUCGGAACCGAAAUUCGUAACAAUUCCACCCCCCCAGGUGAGGGUGUAAAUUACAUGUUGCUGAAGUUGUUGUAAUGAACAUUUCAAUGUGGUUUUUCCCUUAUGCAUGGCAGAACAGCAGAACGAAGCAUUUAUUCGUGUAUAAUUCGUGUGUACCUACUACAGAACAUGUGGCAAACAUGGAGUAUAAAAAUUCGAUUUCAACCUGCCAAACAGCAGCUGCUGCCACACACAGGCAUUGGGCCGGUGAUGUUGCUGCCUGAUUGGUGUACAUGAUCGUGACACAAACAUACAUCAUCCGCGAAGAAAUUUAGCACAGAAGAAGAAAGAUUAAACUCGUAAUUAGUACAGCGUAUUUGUUUUUUUUUCUACAUUGGAGCUUAACAAGGAACAGAUCCCCGGUAUUUGAGGUGCGGUUUGUAACUGGGAGGGAAAAGAGAAGAGGCAUAUGAACCUUUCCAAUGUAAUACAAAGAAAUACCAUACACAGCAACCAGAGCAGACAGGAGCGAUAAACUAUGGCAGAUAACAGAAAACAAACUAAAGUGAUAAUAUAUGAAUAAAAAUGACAAACAGUAA